GAUGUGUAGAUGUGGCACUGAGGGUCAUGGUUUAGCAGUGGAUUUGGCUGUAAGUUUACAGAUGGGCUCAGCGAUCUGAAAGGUCUUUUUCAACAUACAUGAUUCUAAAUUACUCUAAACACAAAAACAUAUUAAGGACAUUUCAUGGACUUAAAUGUUUUCCUCUAUGUAUGAAUCCCAUUUAUGAAGGUUUCACCUUUUCUUUGCCCAUAUCACAACCCAGAUUUUGGUGUCUUUACACUGGGACAAUGCAGACCCUGAACUGCUUCUACUUCUGCCAUAGGUAAAUUGCCAAAGCAGAGGGAUGGCACAAAUACCUUGUUGUGGGACUUGCUGUUUUAGUAAAACUACGUGUAGGCGUACUGAGAAAGAAAAAAUUCAUAUUGUUUGUUUGUUUUUUCUUCAGGUAACCUGGAAUCUAGACAACGCUUUUCAAAAUUUUGCCAUAAAGUCUCACCUGACCUUCCUGGUUGUAGGCUGCCAGAUGCACUCCGCGUGGUUAAGAAAUUGGUGCUGUCCAAGGGGAGGACAACAAACUUGAAUCAAGGGGCUGUACCAAAAGUCAGCCAGUUUUGACCUCUGAGAAUCAGCCCAUGCAACCUCAGCUCCCACUGGUGAGAAAUUAUUCAGACAAGUCACUCUAACCACUCACCCAGUGAGUGGGUUGCAUCCAAGUUGCUGCCAUGGUCAUGGGGAAUGAGCAAUGAACAGGUAAACAGCUAUUAUGGCACGCACAGAAAAAACUGUCCAGUUUUCAUUGCAUCUCAUUUUCCUUCCCACACGUUUCAAACCAGCCUGUUCCACAGGGAUUGCCUGCAGAAGAGGAGGUUCACUUCCACACAUAGUAUGACGGCCCAUACCGCUUUCAUUUUAAGAGAAUAAAAAAAGUGAUCUGAGAGUUGUCUGUAUAUUAUUCCCCAAAUUUGUCAGUGGAGGAGCCCAAACGUACACACUUGGCAUGACACCGCUCCCUCUGGGGCUACGGCGAGCGAGCGCUCUUGGAAAACCGGCAGUGCAUCCGUGCCACGGGUUACAGUGAUCGCUACUGACAGGUUCUUCAUGGUAUCACAACAAAUUAGGUCACAGAUUAGAUUUUCAUAGCACAGAUUACAACUUGUGUCUAUAUCUUUUUGUUAAAUAGAGAGGGUUGUGGCCAGGAGGUUUGACCUCAAGAUUGGGAACAAGGCAGAUGUGGGGGGCUGGGGAGGCCCUAUUUCUGGCUGAGACAAAGAAUAUCUUAGUGAAACUCAGAUAAAAUGCCUAGUUUUCUGCUGUCAUCAGAAGAUUUGGUAUUUUUCCCUUUCUAUACAGCAAGCCUUUGAGAAAUAAUGAGUUUGUCCACUAGAUACCCUGCAGUAGAUCUUACAGCAUUGUUGUGAAAGAGAUAGCAAAACCAGCAUUUUAUACAAACUGCAUUUUUGAUGAUAGAAAAGCAGCCUGCAUCUUGUGAAAAACUGCUGGGAAUGAAAACCAAAGCUACCUAUUAGACUUAUCCCACCUAUAGCCAUAAGGUCACGUGUACAUUCAGUUUGAGCAUCUCUGGUUUAGAAAGAUCUUAAGGGAAUAAAUUCAUAUGUGCAGUGUUCAAAACCCAACCAAGAAAAAAAAAGAAAAAACACUGUGUGGAAGAGUUUUAAAAUAUACCCAGCAAGGACAGUAAUAGAACUCAGGCACCAAAAAAAAUCCAAGCUAUAUCAAGCUCCACACAGAGCAGCGCAGAACAAAGGUUUCCAACAGCUGAGUAACUGCAGACACUGUGCAAAGUGCUUCCUACCCACUGUGAGAUACAGCCCGGCUGCAGAUUUGAAAUCCUGCUCCAGCAGCUGGGUUCCAGCAGACUGCCAGGGCUGAGCUCUGCUC